rnacentral:misc_RNA from 1 species
CUAUGACGCAACUGUAAUUUUUUUAUGUACAACUGCAAUUAUUCACUAACAGAACAUCAAAUUUAAUUACUCCUUACUGUACGAGACAUCAUAGUUUAUGACCAUCAACUUCAAGGCCUCCACAAACCAAUAGCUUAUAAUUUUAUCCCUGAUAGCAUGUUGUUGAACAAAAUUGUUAAUUGUACGAAGCAACAAAUAUGAAAACGAGGAAGUAACUCUAAAUUGAAGUUACACAAUUAAGGGUGCAUAUGGAUCUAAUUCCCGGACCACAAGG